CCCAGGGUGCAUCACGUGCCCUCGGCUGGCCAAUUGCAGAGCCCCGUCCCUGAGCCAUGGCGAUUGGCUUACGGAUGGGCACAUGACCCGGGCAGGGCCAAUCAGAUUCUCUCCCAUCACGAGCCGGAAGACAAUACGGCCGGUCUGUUGGCGGCCGUUCUGCUGCAGUGCGGGCAGAGCCUGCGUGAGAAUGAAGCCAACCUAGAGGAAUGGGGAGCGGAGAGAGGGAGGCCGGUAGAAAGGGGUGCUCUGGGCCCCUCAAGGACAGCCCCCCGCUUCGGACGUCCCAGUCGUGGAAGCGCAUGCACCCCUGUGAGGGGUUCCGUCAUUGCUCCCAGGCUCUGUGCUGAGCUCAUCAGGUGCAUCGAGACUAAUGAGUCUCACGACCGCCCUAAGGGGUAGAUAUUUGGAUGUUUCCUGCUUUCGGAUGAGAAGAGACCGAGACUGAAAGUGAGACCCGAGCGGGGAGCCCAGCCUCGCGCUGUGGACAUGUGUGAACCCUGCCUCCCCGGCCCGGCCCCCUGCUGCCCAGCAGAGGCAUUCAGGUGUUUGUUGAGUGCUCGUCCUGGCCGUUGGGAGUUGAGUUCAGCUUCCCUUCCUUCUCUGGAAUUUGUGUGUGGGCACUGGAUGUGCCUGAGCCCGCCUGAGCCCUUUGCCUCCUGCCCCUGGGCAUUUGCAGAGCAGAGCCCCUCUGCCGCGGUACUUCGUGGUGGGACUGGACGUCCCGCAGCCAAGCCUUGGACGCUCCAGCAAGAUUGCAUUUCCAGACACUUAAAAACAUUCCCUGAAUGAUCUCUGUGAACUUUCCAGAGUUUGAAGUGGGCUGGACCACCUUAAAGUUAGCUCAGAGAGAAAACCUUUUGUACGGAGCCUUUGGAUUUCUUGUUCCCCUUUAGAAGCGAUGUUCUUGUUUGAUGGGAACAGAGACAGUCCUGUAACACCCAGGUCAAGCUGUUCUUUGGGAAAUUUUAAAAGAGGCUGGAGGUGUGUUCUGAAGAAAGCAAAUAAGUCCAGAUCCUUGUCCCCAUGUGGUAAACUCUGAGCAGUUUGGAGAAGAUCAGAAACUCCUACGUUUGUUCCUUGGCCCAGGAGAGUUCAAAGCCACAGCUGGCAAAGGCCCUGUGUCUGUGUCCAAAGGCAGGCAGCUCGCCUACUGCUGAGGGUCAGAGGGAGCCCACCCUGAACGAGCCCCUUCUCUUGGCCUCUCUCUUCCUUCCAUCACUUGCCUGGGUGUGAUGAGUUCACAGGCCAGUGUUUGUGUCCUGAGAGAGCUGGCAGUCAAGGGCUGUGGUUUCUACAGAGGAUCAAGAUUUCUGGGGCAGACAGCCGUGGGCCUCGACCCCUGCCUUUGGGGUCCCCACAGCAGACAUUGAGCGAAGGACAUGAGUGUGAACGAUUGAUGGGGAAGCAAACCGUAGAAAGUGUCACAGAGAAGGGGACGCGACAGGCCUGGGAAGGCUGUAGGGUUGAGGUUGAGUCCUCUGGGGCGUCUGGAGCUUGUGAGGUGCAGAUCCUGGCCCAGCAGGUCAGGGGCAGCGUGAAUUCCUCAUCUCUAGCAAACUCCCAGCUGAAGCAAAUGCUGCUGGUCCACAGUCCACACAGGAGAACACAUUUCUGAGCUCCACCAGCUGAAGGGGUUGACUUGUGUCCCCCAAAAGAUACGCUGAAGUCCUAACCCGAUAUCCGUCAGUGUGACUGUAUUGGAAAUAGAGUCUUCGCCAAUGAAAUCGGGUUGAGACUAGGACAUAGUGGGUUUGGGUGGACCCUAAUCUAAUGACUAGGGUCCCUAAAAAAGAAGAAAAGAGACAGAGGGACGAGGGAAGAAGGCCAUGUGGAGACAGCGCAGAGGCUGGAGCAGAGAUUGGAACACCUGGAGCUAUGGGAAGCUGAAGAGGCAGGAGGGAUCCCCCCCCUGGAGCCUGCAGAGAGCGUGGUCCUGCCCACACCUUGAUUUCAGACUCCUGGCUUCCAGAAGGUGAAAGAAUAGAUUUCUGCUAUUUAAACACCCCAGUUUGUGGGACUUGGUUACAGCCGAUCCAGGAGCCUAAUACAGCAGCCAGGGGGUGAGGGAGCCGGUCCCAGGGGCCUCAGCGUUCCAGCACUUCCAGCCUGACCUGAGGAUUGGCAGAGGGAGCAGGUGCACGCCGCGGUUGGCUCCCUGGAAGCAGUCAGUGCCGAGGCAAGGUGAGUGCGCCCCAUAAGCCUCUGCUUCUGUCUUGCUUGGAAGAUGACCAAGGCCUUUCCUGGAGGGUGAGGGGUUGGUGCCCUGAGCAAGGGCGGGUGGAUGGGGAGCUCGGAGAGCAAGACUGGGAUGGGGUCGACGUGGGUGAGGGGAGGCUCCCUCCCUUCAACUGUGCACAGUGAUGUGCUGCCCGCCGUCUCUAGCUGGGGUGCAGGCUGUCCUGGGCAGGGUGGGGGCGGCAUGGGGCCUGGAAGGAGGGAGGGAUUUGAACCAAAGGGCCCAGCUUGGAAUUCUGUCUCCUCUGCUGGACUUCACCUCUUCCUGCCUCUGUCUUCUUGGUGGCACGAGAGAGUAAUGAUAGGCUGAAAUGACGCAUGUCAUUGCCUAGGACAAGGGUCUAGGCAUUGCCCAGAGGAGGGUCUAGAGCAGAAUGAGGGAUGAAGAGGGGCCUCUCCUGCCCAGAGCUCCUGGCCCAGCCUCUGUGGGGAAGACCAGCUCCAUGGGACAGCAGACAGCCCCCAGGGUUCCCUUAGUUUCCGGCGAUGCCUCGUGACUCCUGGCUACAGGAGACUCUCUCUUCUUCCUCCGGAUCCCUGCUCCCCUGCAUUUUAGCCCCAGAUUUCUGGAAGCUCUUCAGAGAGGCGGAUGUUUGCAAGUCCGCCCAGUGCUAUUGAUUUGUGCCUUAGUGAGCCUUGCCUUUACGAUGAUUAAUAUUUGAUUUAUGCCCUGGGUUUGUCCUCUUUCUGAUCUCUUUCUAACUCAUUAAAUCUUCCCUAAUCGAGCCUCUAACUUUUUCCUUUGGAACUUACCCUCCAGAGGAAGCUUCCAGUUCCCCUUGUUGGCUUCUGACCCAUUUAUUUGCCUUUUGAAAAAUAAAAGAAACACAUUUGGCUGGAACUAGUCCUAGAGGCUGGCUGCCAGGAGGGGCUUGGCUUGCAAAUGUCACAGCUGUCCCUCUGCUGCGGAAGCUUCUUCCACUGAUUGAAUUUGCUUGUGCUGAAAGGGCUGGGCUCUACUGUCAGAGGGUGGGGCUGCCUUCUGGAGCCCGGGUGGGUGAAGGCCAGGUUGGGGGCCUGGGAUGGAAGUGCCAGCAGGGGCCUUGUGGAGCAUCUGAGUCUGCAGUUGGCUCUCUUUCCUGUCGUUCUAGGCAGGUGCACGUUCGGAAAGGUGGGCCCCUCAGGUAAAAUCGGGAACGAGGGUGAGCCGACCUUUAAGGAGCUGAGAUUCCAGCCUGGCUGGUCUGAGCCCAGUGCCCAGGCUCCUCGUGCCGCGCCCAGCUGCCCCCCACCGAGUGCCCUUGCUCCUGCACCUGUGGCCGCAGGUCAGGGACGCGGUGAAACAUCCCAUGGUGGAUGGCCACCCAUAACAUGGUGUCACCCCAAGUGUCGAGAGUGCCAACGUGGAAACCCUCUAGUGGAGGGACCCGCCAUGGCUUCGGAUGGCCGAUCCCACUCGACGUCUUCAGUUGGUCCAGCAGGCCGGACAUGACCAAGUAUUGGGUUCACCGACAGAAGGAUCGUAGGCUUUCUAAGAAAGAAAGGACAAGGGACGGGUGUUCUUGCUGUGGACCGAACGUGCCGUCUACCUGUGUUGAGAUACAGAAAUGCUGCAGUUCAGCCACAAAGACCACAUACUGUCUAAUUCCAUUUACUGUGGAAUUCCCAGCACGGGCAGAUCCGUGGAGACUUAGUGACAGCCAGGGACUGGGCGUGAGCAUGAGGAGGUUGGGCAGCUGCCAGGGCACCAGGCAGUGAGCCCCACGCGGCCCCCAGAAGGCAGAGAGCAAGGAUGCCAGAGCUGGGGAUUUGUCUUAAGUUGCGUUCACCUUCGGAUUUUCCUUCUUUCUUUUGUGUUCUAGGCUUUCUGUUACGCAGUUCAUAUUACAUUAUGUUUUUAUGAGGGCGGUAAAAUGAUCAGUGUUUUUUUGUUUUUUCUGUGUUUCCUGAUGUUUGUAAAACACACAUUUAUAAUGCAAAGAGAGGGAGUCGAUAAAAAGAAAAUCACACCCCCCCCCACCUCCCCUGGGAACAGACACACUAAACAAAAGCAAAGGAGGAGAGUCCUUGAGUCACAGUGAGCCACGUCUGGGUUCAGCAGGUGGCUCUUGUUCCGGACCCGGGGCAGUGGGCUUGGGGGUCAGUGCGAGUAUGGGUUAGGGCAGGCACAGCACGCCAUCCACAGCCCUCCUGCCCCCUUGGGAAGGGAGCCUCUGUUUUCCCCACCCCCGGGCUGGUUCUGUGGGAGAGCCGCGUAAGGACUGGGCACUAUGAGAACCCGAGGUGCGGUCACCUCCUCCUUCCCAGUGGGCAUGGCCAGCCUCAAGUCUCCCUUUUUGGGCUGGCAAGUGGCCUCUCACCGGCCUGAUCCUCUCGCAAAGGGCUGCGAUUGGGGGUGGAGAGGGAGGGAGGUCUCUGUCCGAGCUGCCGCCUCUGGGCCAGCUUUCCUGCUGUGUGGUGUUUUCCUCCUUGCCUGAUCCGGGAGGGGUGACCUGGUCUCCUCACCUCAGCUGGGCAGGGUCUUUUCCUACACGGCUGCGUGUGUGGCUUGCCUGUGUCCCUCUCUGUUCCUGUCACAGUUCGAGGAAGCCAGGCAAGCGAGAAUCCUCCUUGGAGGGGAGCCAGCGGGAUCAGUCACCUGAGGGCAGGUAGACACAGUGUCUCAGGCCCCAUCAAUCCCAGACUUGAGUUGGCUCAGAGGCCCAGACCCCUUGAGUGAAGGGGGGACCGGGUCCCCUUGAGGAAAGACCCCGCCCCACUGCCAGAAAUUUCUAUCAUUUAUCUUUCUGCCAGUCUUCCCCAAAGGGACUAUGGCCCUUUCCCAGCAAGACUGGGUAUUGGGGAAAGGGAAACAGAACUUUUGGGGACUACUGGACACUGGCUCUGAGCUGACAUUGCUCUCGGGAGACCCCACAUGUCACUGUGCCUUCCAGGAACAUAGUGCGAUCAAUGCUUCUUUAGCUAAAGGAGCACUUUAAGGUAGGGCUCAGGGAGGACCCUGAAAAGGAGGUGUGUUUCCACUGAGACCGACUGGCUUCCUUAGGGCCUGUUCCUGGCUUUGGGAAAGGAAGCUGGGAACCAGCCCCAUCCUUUAAUUCUUGGCAGUCAGGAUUGGGCUGGAAAUUCCUUUCUACACCUAACCCUGCUCUGGCCAGCAUGGGCCAUCCAAACUCCAGGAUGUUUGCUCAUUUAAAAAAUUUUUAAUGUUUACUUAUUUUUGAGAGAGAGAGAGAGAGAGAGAGAGAGAGAGAGAGAGAAUGAGUUGGGGAGGGGCAGAGAGAGAGGGAGACACAGACUCCAAAGCAGGCUCCAGGCGCUGAGCUGUCAGCACAGAGCCCGAAGUGGGGCUUGAACCCACGAACCGUGAGAUCAUGACCUGAGCAACCAUAAUCAAGAUUGUAUUACAGUGGCAAAGAAAAAGUCACACAAAUCAAUGCAACAGAAUAGAGACCGAGAAAAAGACCACAGACAUGUCCAACUGAUUUUUGACAAAGGUGCAAGAACAAUUCAAAGGAAGAAAGAUAGCUUUUUCAACAAACGGUACUGGAGAAUUGGGCAUCCAGAGGCAAAAAAUGAACCUUGAACUAAAUCUCACAUUUUACGCAGAAAUUAACUAAAAUCAAUUAUGGACUUAAGUGUAAAAUAAAAAAAAUACGAAACAGAAAAAAAUAGAAAUAUCUUUGGGAUCUAGGCCAGGCAAAGGGUCCUUAGAUUUGACACCAAAAGCGUGAUUAAAGGAAAACUGGCAAAUUUGGCUUCAUCAAAAUGGAAAAUUUUGCUCUCUGAAAGGGCCCGUCAAGAGGAUGAAAAGAGAAACUGUACAGCGGGAGCAAAUGUUUGCAAAGCACAUAUCUGACAGAGGAAUAGUAUCUUAUGUAUAUAAAGACCUCUCAAAACUCAACAGUCAAAAAGCAAACUACCCCAUUAGAACAUGGGAAAAAAGUGGUGACAUGUCACCAAAGAAGAUACACAGGUGGCAAACAGCACCGUUCAACUUGAUUAUUCUUUAGGGAAAUGUAAGUUAAAAUUGUCAAGAACUGUCCCUACACAUCUUCCAGAAAAGCUAAAAAGAGAAAAACGGUGACAAUACCAAAUGCUGGGAAGGAUGUGGAGAAACUGGAAUCCUCAUAUGCCGCUGGUGGGAAUGUAAAAGAGUAGGGCCACUCUGGACAGUGGCUGGGCAGUUUCUCAAAAACCUAAACGGGCAGCUACCACACACUGCAGGGACUGCACUCCUGGGCAUUCAUCCCAGAGAGAAACGAAGACUUAUGUUCACACAAAUACCUGCACACGAGUGUUUAUAGCAGCUUGGUUUGCGGUCAGCAAAUCAAACCGACCCUGGAGACAAGCCAGAUGUCCUUCUACCACUUAGGGUUAAGUGAAACGUGGUACCUGCACACCCGUGGGGGGAUAGCGCCCCUCAGUGCUGUGUGUACAAUGCCUGCAUGAGUCUCCAGAGAGUAUCACGGAGUGGAGAGAGCCCGUCCCACGAGGGCAGCACCCUGUACGGUUCCAGUUCUGUAACGUUCUCGCAACGACAAAAUUACAGGAACGGAGAACAGAGGGGUGGUUGCAAAACAUGGAAGAGGGGCGAGCGUGGGAGAGGGUGUGGCUGUGAAGGAGCCAGCAGGCGGGAUUUGGUGGCAAAGGGAAUGUUCUGGAUCUUGACCGUAUCAACGUCAACAUCCUGGUUUUGAUAUUGUCCCGCAGUUUUGCAGGAUGCCACCGCCAGGGAGAACUGGGUGAGGGGCGUGUGGGAUCUCUGUAUUAUUUCUUACAAACGCAUGUGAAUCUGUAGUUAUCUUAAAAAGUUAAAGAUAUUUUGAAGACA